UUAUAAAUCUAAAACCUAAACCAGUGGACCUUCUCACAGGAAACAAUAUCAAAUCCUCCAUCUUACUAGUGAGAGUGGUUGUUAAAACUAACAAGAAGGCUUUAGGAAAAGUCAUCAUGGAAAGGUAAUAUUUUUGAAAAGGAGCUGUGAUGGAAAGUUGAAAGGGAAUGGAAGGGCACACUGCAUCUGAUGAGUGUUUAGAAUCCCUCACUUUAAAAAGGGGCCAGAGCAUGACUUAAUAUGAAGCUUCAGAACUGCUUCUGCUGGCUCCCUUGACUUUCAUGCAGCUCCUCUCCAUAACAUGAGCUGAGAAUUAGGGAAGGUAAAACAGAGAAAGCAAGAUUUAGCCAAUGUGGCUUUCCUGGGAAGAGGGUACUUCCUCCCCACAGCUGGCUGAGAGUCACUGCUGCUCUACAAGUGAGCAGAAUAUGGUGAGACUGAGAGAAUUCUUGGGGGACCUGGUGUGUGUGCUGUGAAUUUGGAGGCACCUAUGAGCUUUGGGGCCCAAACCCAGAGAUUUCUGAAGGCAGAAGGCUUGCUGGAAUGGCUGGACAGAGGAGCAAGGUCCCUGUAUGUCAGUUGUUUGGGGCCAUAAGCUAGUUGGUAAAGUGAGGUAAUAAAUACUCCAUCCAACAGGAGGCUAAGAUACAGACCAAUGUUGGCCUGAGGAGGACCUCAGGACAGAAGUGUGGCUUCACAUACUUAAGACAUCACUGCAGAAUGAAGAAAGAUGGUGACUGGGAGAAAAUAAAACCUCGUCAUACUCAUACUCCACCUAGUCGAGAUUCCUCAAGUCAUUUUUUGCAGCCAUGAACUCCAGAAACUUUCUUCUUCCAUAUAAAAUCUAAAGAAACCUAGAAAAUAGAGCAAGAGUGGUUGUCUUCUUUGGAGCAAAAAUCUAUAUACUCUGAAACAUUUUUCAAUGCCCAGGCCCCCCAGAAAGAGGGACUGGAGGACAUGCACCCUGCGCUCACCUCCAGAGGACAGGAGCCCCACCCCACCCCCAGCAGCUGCACCCUCUCAACUCAUGUGCUCCACUGUCACCAGGAGUCAUCCUUUACACUGACGGAAGAAUUUUGCAGCCUCCGCCCCUGCCUGCCUGCUGGGUGCAGUCAGAAUCUGAUGAGAAGAAACUGCUGUAAGUGCAUCUGAGGCACCAUAGUGGGGCCUUGACCUCAGGUGGCCCUGGGGUGGGGGAGACUGGCGGGAUCUCCCUAGAUGCUGGUGGUUCUGUCAAGCAGUGUAUGUACCUGCUGAAAGCUCCAGGUGCCCCGGAGCAUGGCAGGAGGCCAGCCUGGCCAUGAUUUUCUUUCUGGUGUUACUGAGAGAUUCUGCCCAAUGGGACAGUGAGACCGAGCUAUUGUCCACUUCGAGGACACACUUCCUGCAUAGGAGUCAUUGUGGUAACCUCAUCACAGGGACCUUCAUCCCUCAGCUGGUGCCUUAGGCCCAUGCUCAGGCUGCAGAGUGACAUAGCCUGCUGACAGCCAUAGAAACCCUCAUCCUCCUGCUACACGGAGACUGCACAAUCUGUCCCUGCUCUUUCUCAGUGACGGAGAGCAUGCAUGUCUUCCUGGCUCAGCAAGAAGUAUAGCAAGCUCUGUUUCUGAAUUGUGGGUGAUUGGCUCCUAGAGAGCUGCUUCCACUAAACCUUGCUUUAGAGGUGAUGUCAUAAGUUUACGAGAAGGUGAGAAGAGAAAGCAUUUCCACUCUCACAGCUUCCUGCAAAUUUAAGACAACUUCACAGUCCAGAAUCCACUGGGCAUGGUUCAGGAACUUCCCCUCAAGCCAUUUACAUGAACACAUGACCAUGCAACUUCUCACCAAUUGACAGCUGGGACUGUUUCCUUCCCAACAUUAAAACUCUCACUUCAAAACCACUGCCUUCCUAUGUCCCUCAGUCUAUAAUUAUUGUGCUGUGAUCCUUACUCAACUGUAAUCAAGCUCCUGCACAGACAGACCCAUUUUAAACAUCUGUUUUCUUCUACAAGCUUGGCAGUGUUAACUCUUAUGUAUAGCUUUUUGAUGCAUUUCAAGUUAUUGUUAUUAUUAUUACUUUGCACAUGGUCUGAGGAAAGAAUCCAAAAUCAGUCCUCCUCUUUUGCUGUUUUUGAUUUUUGAGACAGUCUCACUAUUAGUUCAGGCUGGCUUGGAACUCACCAUAUACCCUAGGCCAGGCUCCAACUUUUGACCCUCCUGCCUCAGCCUACCAAGUGCUGGGAUUAUUACAGAAGCGUGCCGCCACACAUGGCACAUUCUUUUGCAUAUGGAUAUUCACUUGACCCAGCCCCAUGUGUUUUGUUUUUUUUUUGGUACCAGGGAUUGAACUUGGGACCUUGUGCUUGCAUGGUAGGUGCCAGAACCACUGAGCUAAAUCCCUGGCCCCUUAGCCCCAUGUGUUUUAAAAACAUGAUUCUUUCCCUUGCUGAACUGUUUUGGCAUCCUUGAAAAAAAAAAUCAAUUAACCAUAUAUGUAAAGGUUUAUGUCUAUACUCUCAAUUCUAGUCCCUUGAUCUGUAUUUCUGUCCUUAUACAAGUAACACACUGUUUUGAUUACUGUAGUUUUGGUAUAAGUUUUGAAAUUGGGACAUGUGAGUCCUAUGAACUUGUUCCUUUUCAAGACAGUUUUGGAUUCUCUGAAUUUCUUGCAUUUCUAUAGGAAUUUUAGUAUCAGAUGGUCAAUUGCUGAAAAAAAUUUCGCUCAUAUUUUGAUGAGAAUUUUGUUAGAUAGGAAGAGUGUGGCCAUUGUAACAAUAUUAAGUUAUUCAAUCCACAAACACGAUAUUUUUGUAUGCAUAUAGAGCUUUCAUUUGUUUCAAUAGUAUUUUGUAGUUUUCAGUGUGUAACUUUCACUUCUUUUGUUAAAUUUACUUCUAAACAUUUUCCCCUUUUUGAUAGUAUGAUAAAUUGAAUUGUUUCUUACUUUCAUUUUUUGGUUUUUCAUUGUUAGCAUAUUGAAAUAUAAUUGGCUUUUGUAUGAUCCCACAACAUUUUAAAGUUUAUGUUUUUCCUCUAAAUCAAGAAUUAUUAUUUCUAAGAAACAUUUUCUCAGUCUAAAGGCAAGAGAUGAUUUGAGGGUUGCCCUGUACCAUCCAAGGCCUGCUGCUGUCCUUGAGAGAAAACAGAAAAAACAAUUUUGGGUGUCUGGAAUUGAGAUGUGUCUCAUUUAGUCCUUAAGAUAAGGUUGGCUUUACAGAAAGUCCUGAACUUAAAAGAUGUCUGAGAGGUCAUCCCUGAGUGCAGAAAACAGAUCAAGGAGUAGUACGAAUGGGUUACAGAAUGAAAUAUUCACCUCAAAUUGCAGCAGUACAGUGAUUGCAGGAUACAAGGAUGCUUAAACUAAAAAUAACUCUCCCAGGGGAAAUGGGUAUAUACAUUUGACUACCAACUUUAGCAUUGGUUGUAAAAUUUAGGGCUUAAUGAAUCUUGGGAACAUCCAGCCUGUGCCUUUGAAGAUAAGAUAAGAAAACAGUCCAGAAAGAGGAUGUGAAAAAGCAAAGCAUUUAAAAAACAAAUUACCUAAGUCCUCACCAUUAUGAAACCUUGGGAAAGGUUUCUCAGCUCCCAUCAACCUUAGCCCUUCAUCUGUAAAAGGGAGGAAAUGACGCCUACCUUGGAGGGUGGUUGUAAGGAAUUGGGUAUUCAGUUAGUUGAGUCUUCCUAGGUCCCGUGUACCAGGCACUGCACUGGGUGCUGGGGUUAUGAGAAUAAGAGACACAGUCCAUGGCCACAAGAAGAGUAGAUUCAGAAUGAGGGUUAAAUGAGAUAGAUCGUCAAGAAAGUGCAAGGACUCCAGUUGUGUUGCUUGGGCUCAUUGUGUUUGUACCUUGUAAAGACAAGUUGUGUUUCCCAGUGCUCUGUUGCACUCAUGUUUAAUCCUGAGUGCUCUGCCCAGUGCCUGAGAGAGCUACAUCUCCAGCUCUUAUUUUUAGACAGUUUCACUAAAUUGCUGGUGCUGAGCAACUUGCAACCUCCCUGACUCCGCCUCGCAGAGUGCUGAGAUUACAGGAAUGUGCCACCACACCAGGCAUGUAGUCUCUUAAUAAGUGUUGAAACAAAUACAUUUUCUUCUUACUCCAAAUCAAAAGAGGUCUUAAAACACACAAGGGAAGAACAGGCUUGAUGGAGUGAGGCGGCAGAGCAUCUCUGGAGGAGGAGAUGGUCAACAGGAAGCCAGGUCUUGUUCCCAGGUCUUGUAUCAGUUGAUCCAGUGUUUAUUUAAUUUUUUAAAAAAUGAAGUCAACUUCUUGGUAGAACAUUUUUAGUCGCAUCCACAUGUGAAUAUCUUCUCCCACCAAAUAAAUCAGUUUAGCUAAGAAGAUUAAGUUUUAAAAUAGAAAUAAAUACAAUUUACAUCAAUACUACUCUGAGAGACAAAUAAAGAAAAUUCUCUACAUACCACAAGCUGGAGCCUGACCAAACUGGAGUGAUAAGAACAGUGAGGAUCAUUUGAUGACAAGGAUAAGAGGUAACUUCAGGCCUAGGAACAGGAGCCCAGGCCCCUGGGCCCCACUGUAGAUUUCCUCGUGGCCAGCACCCCAUUCUGCCUGCUGGGUCCACAGUAGUCAGAGGUCUGCAGCCCUGCUGGGAGGGUCAGGGAGAGUGGGAACUGGGGAGGGACUGUGGGAACAGCUCAUAACCUCGAGCCAAGUGCCAGGCAUUAAACAGAGCUCACCAGGUUGCUAAACUCUAGAACCAGCCUUCUCUAGACUAUCGAUGGAUGGAUGGAUGCAAAAAGGAGCUGGUGUUGAAACAAUACUCAAGUAGAAAUCUAGAGGAUAGGAUUCCAAAUUCACCUCUGCUUCUCACUGGCUGUAUGACCAUGACUCAGUCAUUUCAACUCUCCGAAUAUCCAUUUCUUCACUUGUUAAAGGAGAAGUUGGACCUAGAUUAGGCACAGUAAAUACCUAAGAGGACUGGCCUUUUACUAUGGCUUGUCUGUGGCAGACAUUGCUGAUCGAUCGCUCUCCAUUUUUCAUCCCAACCAAUUGAGACUCCUUCACAGACCACUGCUGCAUAGAACCAACUCUAGUCAUCUGUGAUGGCACUGCAAGGUACGAUUUAUUUACCACCCUUAACCAGAUAGCUUCAUAAGGCCAUGGUGCCCUGGACUUGUGUGAUUCUAAAUCACUUUCUGUAGGUUUCUUCCACUACUGUUGAUGUAAGAUGGAAAACUGAUGAUUCCCUAAAGUCAAAAAAUAGUCAUGGUGGCUGCAGGUAAGUAUGAGCUCUGUGGACACUUCACACAGAUGCUGAAGGGAGGGAGCUCAUACUGAGCUUGGUCAGAAAUGGUCAUGGCAGAAGUUGAAUAGGAGGGGAGCCAUGGAGAAGAAUUUUAAAAUUUUUCCCUUUUUAAAUAAAACUUUAACUUGUGUUUCUUUGCCCGGGGUCAUUCUAUUCCAUUAAAGAAUCAUUAGGGGAGUGUUGCUAGGAAAUUAACAGCUGUUAGUCCAGACAGAAAUGUGUCAUUCAUACAACGCAAACAGAGAAGAUCUUGAAGCAUGUGAAACUGGGUCUCUGUCCAAUUCUAUUCAAGGAAACACAAUGCAGAGCUUUUCAUACACAGUCAAGGUGGAGAGUCUUUCCCAAGGUGAUCUAAUUUCCAGGGUCGGUGACCUGGAGCGCUGCCCCUGGAUCUCACUCCAUUGCCCAGCUUGUCAUGGCUUUCCCUCACAGCUGUUAUCUGGCUUCUGACCUGAAACUGGCUGCUGGAUGGCUGGGACCAGCUGAGUGAGGAGGAAGAUGACAACUUUUUAGAGAGGAGCCUGGGAAGCUAGCUCAACGCCCUCCCCAAAUUCAGCCUUUGUGAGCUGGAGCUCUUGGGAAGUCCCUGGCCAUCUCUCGAGAGCCACAUCCCCCUGAGCUUCUCCUCACCCUCCCUCUGUGCAUUGCUUGCUUCACAGCCUCACCACCAACCUCCACUGUGAGUGAUGAUUUCUGUGUUCUGGCUCUCCCUUCUCUGUCAGGGAAGCUCUAUGAAAGCGUGGCUUCCUGUCUGUUUUCUUCACAGCUGUUUCUUUGGUACCUGACACAGUCUCUGAAACGUAAUGGGUACCCAGUAAGAAUUUGUUAAAUGACCAAAUCCACUCAUCUAUUCAAUAUUUUAUUUGCCUAGAUAAGGAUAAGCACUUUUACUGAGUACCUUCAGAAUGCCUGGAAUUAUUCCCCAGCUUUGGGAUUGGGGUGGGGGUGGGGUUCAAAAGGGAAGGAAAUUCCCUUGAAAGAUUGUAGGAAAGGACAAAGAAAUGAUGUCUUCCUUUGUGUGUCACUUUAUAGUUUAUCGAUUGCUUUCAUGUUGUUUCUUUGUGCUUCAAAUCAGCUUUCUGAGGUAAGUAUCCUUAUCUCGGUUUUUCAGAGGAAGAAAUGUGGUUCCAAGAAAGUAGCUUACCCAAACCCACAUAACCCCUAAGUGGUAAAGCCCAGAUCUUUACAGAAUAUACAAAUGUCAUCAUUAGCACCUGACCACUGGCCACAGACCCCACCCCGCCCCCAUCUCUCUAGGCAGCUGCUCUGCAGAGAGGCAAAGCUGUUUUAGCAAUCAUGGCAUUACAGCAGUCUCUUGGGGACUAGAAUAUCCUGUGAGUGGUGCAAGCUUUUUUUUUUUUUGUCUUUGUAAUCUCUAUUCCUAUAAACCAUAAAGAGCAGGCUAAAUUCAUCUUGCCCACAGGAUGGAGAACACGCAUGAAGAAGAGGCAUUCAAGUUUGGGAUCAGAUUUCCCAAACUGCUAAGGUUUUGCCACCUCCCAGAAUGUCCUCAUCAUGAGUUAGUGAUCUCAUUUCCAGGGAAUUCCCACUUUGCACUGCGAGUAUAAAUCAAAUUGUUUCUGGUCAAGUUUAGGCUUAGAGAUUCUUUGUGAUUUUCACUCUUUUCUCAGACCCUCUGAAUUUAGCUCCAUACCCUCCAAACCAGUAGCUGGAAACCCUCUGAAGUUCUUGUGUCUGAGCAAUGGAGAACCCACAGAUCCCAGCCCUCCUUUCCUAGCAGUCAGGACCCUUCCUGUAUGUUAGCUGUCCUGACAUCUCUGAAAGAAGCUUAACUUAGUUCUGAGAAAGCGCCUGCUUAUCUUUGUCUAUCACAGGAUUAUUGGAGGUCUGGGGAGUGGUGCCAGCCUGCAUGAAACAGCAGGGUGAGCAGAUG